UACGUAGGUGGCAAGCGUUGUCCGGAUUUACUGGGCGUAAAGAGCGCGCAGGCGGUUGGAUAAGUCGAAUGUGAAAGCCCCCGGCUUAACUGGGGAGGGUCAUUCGAUACUGUUCAACUUGAAGGCAGGAGAGGGCAGCAGAAUUCCCGGUGUAGUGGUGAAAUGCGUAGAUAUCGGGAGGAAUACCAGUGGCGAAGGCGUUCCGCUGGGCCGUUGCUGACGCUGAGGCGCGACAGCGUGGGGAGCAAACAGG
rnacentral:rRNA from 1 species